AGCGAACGCUGGCGGCAGGCUUAAUACAUGCAAGUCGAGCGGGCGUAGCAAUACGUCAGCGGCAGACGGGUGAGUAACACGUGGGAACGUGCCUUUUGGUUCGGAACAACCCAGGGAAACUUGGGCUAAUACCGGAUAAGCCCUUCGGGGGAAGAUUUAUCGCCAAAGAUCGGCCCGCGUCUGAUUAGCUAGUUGGUGGGGUAAUGGCCCACCGAGGCGACGAUCAGUAGCUGGUCUGAGAGGAUGAUCAGCCACACUGGGACUGAGACACGGCCCAGACUCCUACGGGAGGCAGCAGUAGGGAAUAUUGGACAAUGGGGGAAACCCUGAUCCAGCCAUGCCGCGUGAGUGAUGAAGGCCUUAGGGUUGUAAAGCUCUUUCAGCGGGGAAGAUAAUGACGGUACCCG
rnacentral:rRNA from 1 species